GAACGCUGGCGGCGUGCCUAAUACAUGCAAGUCGAGCGAACAGAUGAGGAGCUUGCUCCUCUGACGUUAGCGGCGGGCGGGUGAGUAACACGUGGAUAACCUACCUAUAAGACUGGGAUAACUUCGGGAAACCGGAGCUAAUACCGGAUAAUAUAUUGAACCGCAUGGUUCAAUAGUGAAAGACGGUUUUGCUGUCACUUAUAGAUGGAUCCGCGCCGCAUUAGCUAGUUGGUAAGGUAACGGCUUACCAAGGCAACGAUGCGUAGCCGACCUGAGAGGGUGAUCGGCCACACUGGAACUGAGACACGGUCCAGACUCCUACGGGAGGCAGCAGUAGGGAAUCUUCCGCAAUGGGCGAAAGCCUGACGGAGCAACGCCGCGUGAGUGAUGAAGGUCUUCGGAUCGUAAAACUCUGUUAUUAGGGAAGAACAAAUGUGUAAGUAACUAUGCACGUCUUGACGGUACCUAAUCAGAAAGCCACGGCUAACUACGUG
rnacentral:rRNA from 1 species